UUUUGUCUGAAACGGGAAAGAAACAAACAUCAUUUAAAUUAUUCGCUCUUAUACAGUAAAAAAAAAAAAAAAAAAGUUUGUGUCAAUUUCUCUCUAACAGAGUUUAUAUCUAGAAGGUCUAAGAGGGACCUAAUAUACUCUAUCAGAACAUUUUUACUGUGUAGAUGUGUAACCGUGAGCAAUCUUUAGAUGAAAAAGAUCAAAGCAAAAUGAUCUGGCCCACGUGACCCCCGUUCGAGUUAAUUGAGACACAAAAAACUAAACAUUUCUUUGCACAGCAAAUAAUAUGAUGAUCAUUUAAAGGCUGCUAUCACUGCCCAUGCGUGCAAAAAGUAGAUUGCUGAAGACAGUACACAAUGAGAAAUUAUAUUUUUAUAUACUGUAAGUGCACUCUAUGACACUUAAGUUUAUAUAAAUGCACUUAACGUUUCCAUAAUAAUACUACAAGAAUGUAGAACUAUAUGCACAAAGAGCGCAUGUUCACAAAGAGCAACCGCGCUUACCGUUUUCAUUUUUGCCGAAAUAUUUCCAGAUUUUAUCUGCCCUUUUAUCUGGCGUGUUCUCGUCUUCAGGAAGGUUCUUUUGAUCUUCACCGGAUAUCAUGUUGAAUAUUGACUAGGUGGAACACAAAAUAACAAAAGUUGUCAUUUUCAGCGACUAUAGCCUACGGUCACAAAAUGAAAACGUGAUUUUUAAAACGCGGCUAAUCACAAGCAAGUUUGCAACGAGAAGUCCUCCUGUUUUCUUCACGCCACUCGGUUGAACAAAUUACAUCGAGUAAGAUAAUGACGUCAUUUAUUGAAGGAAACCGCAGUUGGCCUACUACAGCAUUUGGACCGCUGGAAAUUAUUAGCCUAUUCGAAUACUGUCUACAUUGGCAUGCUUUUCCUUUGAAGAUUAUAGUUAACAAAUAUUAUCAAUCGUGUAGGCCUAUUUGCGGGGUACUACACCUCGGCAGGCAUAUUGGGUUUCUUGUAUUUAGGAUUUCAGUUUUCAAACGAGGGCGAACGCCCACUCCAGCUUCUGCAGGGUUUUCCCGGAGGUCGUGAGAUGCAGCGCCACGAUGUACUCCUUGAAGUCCAGCGUCCCGUCGCUGUUGGUGUCGAAGCUCCGGAAUACGUGGUGCGCGUAAGCAGUGGGGUCGGCGUCCGGGAAAAAGCUGGCGUAUAUUCCCUCGAACUGCUCCCUGCUGAUGCGACCGCUGGGGCAUUCCUUCAGGAAGCUCUGGUACCACGCGCACAGCUCGUCCUCGCUGUACUUCGUGUUGAGCUUCAGGUCCUCCAACAGUUCCUUGGACAGCGCGCCGCUCUUGCUGUUGCCCAUUUUUUUGUUUCGCUUGGCCUGGCAGUGAGAGUGAGUGUCGUCUCCACACAGUCGACAAGGACCCUGUUCCCUUAGGGCUCCCACAAAGGUGCUGGACUGGAUUAUGGAUAACUCUUUUAAAUCCAGACUGGCUUUCUUAAAGAUUAAGGGGAUCAGCACGUCACUCAAAGUUUGACAUCUUUUCCGAGGGCAUAGUGGGGAAGGGUCCAACAAGUGAGUCAGCUGGCAGCUCUUUUGAAAAUUGGUGGGUAUACCCCCAAAAUCGCUUGUUUUUUUUUUGGGGGGGGGGGGGGUUAAUUAUUCUGGAGACUCUGCUCAACAUAUGUAUUCAGUUUCUUAUAACUUGAUAAAGAAAACGAGCGUGUAGGCUUUAUAGUCUGUGUUUCGCGGAGUCGGCUCCUGUGCAAGUCACUCUAAAUAGCCUAUGUAUAGUUCUGGUGAUUAAACUGAACGUUAAACACA